CCUACGGGAGGCAGCAGUGGGGAAUAUUGGGCAAUGGGCGCAAGCCUGACCCAGCAACGCCGCGUGAAGGAAGAAGGCUUUCGGGUUGUAAACCUCUUUUGUCAGGGACGAAGCAAGUGACGGUACCUGACGAAUAAGCCACGGCUAACUACGUGCCAGCCGCCGCGGUAAUACGGAGGUGGCAAGCGUUAUCCGGAUUUAUUGGGUGUAAAGGGCGCGUAGGCGGGAAUGCAAGUCAGAUGUGAAAUCUAUGGGCUCAACCCGUGAACUGCAUUUGAAACUGUUUCCCUUGAGUGUCGGAGAGGUGAUCGGAAUUCCUGGUGUAGCGGUGAAAUGCGUAGAUAUAAGGAAGAACACCAGUGGCGAAGGCGGAUUACUGGACGAUAACUGACGGUGAGGCGCGAAAGCGUGGGGAGCAAACAGGAUUAGAUACCCUGGUAGUC
rnacentral:rRNA from 1 species